rnacentral:rRNA from 1 species
UGAGGGAGGAGGCUCUUGGGUCGUAAACCUCUUUUCUCAGGGAAGAACACAAUGACGGUACCUGAGGAAUAAGCAUCGGCUAACUCCGUGCCAGCAGCCGCGGUAAUACGGAGGAUGCAAGCGUUAUCCGGAAUGAUUGGGCGUAAAGCGUCCGCAGGUGGCUAUGUAAGUCUGCUGUUAAAGAGUCUAGCUCAACUAGAUAAGAGCAGUGGAAACUACAUGGCUAGAGUGCGUUCGGGGCAGAGGGAAUUCCUGGUGUAGCGGUGAAAUGCGUAGAGAUCAGGAAGAACACCGGUGGCGAAGGCGCUCUGCUAGGCCGCAACUGACACUGAGGGACGAAAGCUAGGGGAGCGAAUGGGAUUAGAUACCCCNAGUAGUCAAAA